CAAAAACAGAGUAAGGAGAAAGAGAGAGAGAGAAGCAAACAUGAUAAAGAGAGAGGCAAACUUGAGAGAGAUUUACGACGACAAAUUCUGGUCUAAAGAGCAUACUAAUACCCUACAGAAGCUACCUUUUGAA